CAGGGACAUAAAUCAUCAUUGUAUAUGACUACAGAAAGUGAAAGAUAACUGAGACUCAGGCAGUUCACCUCCAGAUGAGCAGCAGAGACAUACCGGAUCAAAGUAAUCAGACAAACAAGAAGAGAUAUUUCCACACAUUUUGCAAUGAGAAACUCCACCAGCACCUUUACCUGCUCACAUGAAACCACUGCUUUCAAGUCACACGGCUGCUUGGGAAGCGAGGCAUGAUUGGGCACAGGGCAAAUGCAAAGAGCUCCAGUGACUGAUUUCCAACCCAUGAAACACAGCUGAUAGACAGGAACACAGUGAGAAGGCUUG
rnacentral:lncRNA from 1 species